rnacentral:lncRNA from 1 species
GAAGUGGCGAGACUUCUAGUCUCUCCAGUUUCACAAUUCUUCUAGGUUCAAAGUACUCUCCUUCAGUGAAAGACUCCACCCUUGAGGUGAUCAUUGCUAUACAUUUUCCAGAUUCUCACAGAGGUCUUAAUGCUGAUGAGUGUGGAGGGUAGGGAAGGACGGGACAAAGAUGUUGAGGCAAUCUGUGCCUGACAAGCAAAUUCAUUGUCUUUGCUGACCUUUUUAUAUGCAAUUGAGUUAAUCAAGACUCUGACCCUUUGCAAGGACUAAGCCUGUGAGCCUAUGAGGAGAAGACAAGGAGGCAGCAGUAAAGAGAAUCAAAAGAACAUGAUACAACCAAAAUCAGAACUAAAGAAGAUAUUGUGCAAAAGAAUUCCCAGGUAGUUGCUUCUAGGAAACUCUUGACAAGGGAAUGAGUCAUUGGCAGAGGAGAGCUGUUGUUGAUCCCCAAUAUUAUAGAUGAAUGAAAUAGACAGUCUCAUCACACCUGAGAGGAGGUCCCACUCUGACUCAUGAAGAGAUAAUCUAUGUCUGACUCCAAGGUUCCAGAAAAGAUCCCUGACGUCAUCUGAUGCUGCCGUCUGGCCAGGGUCCUAUUAAUUCAUGAGAGAGCCAUCCCUUAAUAAAAAGAAAAACAAAAAGAAUUCUGAUCCAAGAAGCUCACAUUCUAAUGGAGGAGACAACCUGGAAAUAACUAUGUCUAUACAAGAUAUAUACAAGUAAUCUCAGAGGGGAGGUAUUGGGUUUGGGAUGGGGAGAUGAAUGGGAGGACUGGGAAAAGCCUCUUGUAGAAAGAGAUAUUUGAAGUGAGUCUGGAAGGGAGUCAGGAAAACCAGGAGACAGAAGUGAGGAGGAAAAUUAUUCCAGGCAGGGAAAAGAGCCACUGAAAAGUCAUGGAGUCAGGUGAUGGAGUGUCAUGUGGGAGGAACACCAAGAAUGCCAGUGUCACUGGAUCCUAGAAUUCCUAC